rnacentral:rRNA from 1 species
UGCGUAGGCGGAUUAAUAAGUCAGUGGUGAAAACCUGCAGCUUAACUGUAGAACUGCCAUUGAUACUGUUAGUCUUGAGUACGGUCAAGGUAGGCGGAAUGUGUAAUGUAGCGGUGAAAUGCUUAGAUAUUACACAGAACACCGAUUGCGAAGGCGGCUUACUGGGCCAUUACUGACGCUGAGGCACGAAAGCGUGGGUAGCGAACAGGAUUAGAUACCCUGGUAGUCC